AUACGGAGGGUGCGAGCGUUACUCGGAGUCACUGGGCGUAAAGCGUCCGUAGGCGGUCGGGUAAGUCGGGUGUGAAAGCCCCGGGCUCAACCUGGGAAGUGCACCCGAUACUGCUCGACUCGAGUGCGGGAGAGGAUGGCGGAAUUCCCGGUGUAGCGGUGAAAUGCGUAGAGAUCGGGAGGAACACCAGUGGCGAAGGCGGCCAUCUGGCCCGCAACUGACGCUGAGGGACGAAAGCGUGGGGAGCAAACAGAAUUAUAUACCCUAGUAGUCC
rnacentral:rRNA from 1 species